rnacentral:rRNA from 1 species
GACGAACGCUGGCGGCGCGCUUAACACAUGCAAGUCGAACGGAAAGGCCUGCUUUCCCUUGUGGAUUGCGGGUACUCGAGUGGCGAACGGGUGAGUAACACGUGAGUGAUCUGCCCCCAACUUGGGUAUAAGCCUGGGAAACUGGGUCUAAUUCCCGAUAGGACUGCAGGGUGGUGCCUGUGGUGGAAAACGAUUUUCUAGUGGUUGGGGAUGAGCUCGCGGCCUAUCAGCUUGUUGGUGGGGUAAUGGCCUACCAAGGCGGCGACGGGUAGCCGGCCUGAGAGGGUGGACGGCCACAUUGGGACUGAGAUACGGCCCAGACUCCUACGGGAGGCAGCAGUGGGGAGUAUUGCACAAUGGGCGGAAGCCUGAUGCAGCGACGCCGCGUGGGGGAUGACGGCCUUCGGGGUGUAAACUCCUUUCGACCGCGAGGAAGCCACCUGGUUGGAAGGGUGGUGACGGUAGUGGUAGAAGAAGCACCGGCUAACUACGU